rnacentral:rRNA from 1 species
UACGCAGGGUGCAAGCGUUAAUCGGAAUUACUGGGCGUAAAGCGUGCGCAGGCGGCUUUGCAAGACAGAUGUGAAAUCCCCGGGCUUAACCUGGGAACUGCAUUUGUGACUGCAUGGCUGGAGUGUGGCAGAGGGGGAUGGAAUUCCGCGUGUAGCAGUGAAAUGCGUAGAUAUGCGGAGGAACACCGAUGGCGAAGGCAAUCCCCUGGGCCUGCACUGACGCUCAUGCACGAAAGCGUGGGGAGCAAACAGG